rnacentral:rRNA from 1 species
ACUUUUAACAACGGAUCUCUUGGCUCUCGCAUCGAUGAAGACCCAGCGAAAUGCGAUAAGUAAUGUGAAUUGCAGAAUUCAGUGAAUCAUCGAAUCUUUGAACGCACCUUGCGCUCCUUGGUAUUCCGGGAGCAUGCCUGUUUGAGUGUCAUUA